rnacentral:rRNA from 1 species
UACGGAGGGUGCAAGCGUUAUCCGGAUUCACUGGGUUUAAAGGGUGCGUAGGUGGGUUGGUAAGUCAGUGGUGAAUCUCCGUGCUUAAACAUGGAAACUGCCAUUGAUACUACUGGUCUUGAAUUUUCUGGAGGUAAGCGGAAUAUGUCAUGUAGCGGUGAAAUGCUUAGAUAUGACAUAGAACACCAAUUGCGAAGGCAG